UACGAAGGGGCUAGCGUUGCUCGGAAUCACUGGGCGUAAAGCGCACGUAGGCGGAUUGUUAAGUCAGGGGUGAAAUCCUGGAGCUCAACUCCAGAACUGCCUUUGAUACUGGCGAUCUUGAGUCCGGGAGAGGUGAGUGGAACUGCGAGUGUAGAGGUGAAAAUUCGUAGAUAUUCGCAAAGAACACCAGUGGCGAAGGC
rnacentral:rRNA from 1 species